rnacentral:rRNA from 1 species
GAACCGUCAAUCCUACUUGGAUAACUGUGGUAAUUCUAGAGCUAAUACAUGCACCCAAGCCCCGACUCGGGGGGCAACUCUCGAGAAAGGGCGCUUUUAUUAGAUCAAAACCAGUCGAGAGCUUCGGCUCUCGUUAAGUUUGGUGACUCUGGAUAACUUCACGCUGAUCGCACGGUCUUCGCACCGGCGACGAUUCUUUCAAAUGUCUGCCUUAUCAACUGUCGAUGGUAGGUUAUGCGCCUACCAUGGUUGCAACGGGUAACGGGGAAUCGGGGUUCGAUUCCGGAGAGGGAGCCUGAGAAACGGCUACCACAUCCAAGGAAGGCAGCAGGCGCGCAAAUUACCCACUCCCGUCACGGGGAGGUAGUGACGAAAAAUAACGAUACGGGACUCUUCCGAGGCCCCGUGAUUGGAAUGAGUACACUUUAAAUCCUUUAACGAGGACCCAUUGGAGGGCAAGUCUGGUGCCAGCAGCCGCGGUAACUCCAGCUCCAAUAGCGUAUAUUAAAGUUGUUGCGGUUAAAAAGCUCGUAGUCGGAGUUCUGUCUUCGGCCGAGGGGGGAUUCUGCCUACACGGUAUGAGUCUCGUUCCCUUUGGGUGUGCGGUGUCAAAGCCGUGCACUCUUAACGGUCGGACAAGUCCGUCGGAGUGUGGUUAUUGUUGGAAGGGCAACCGACCAAUGAGGCCACCGUAAUCGUUCGGGGUGCCUUUAAUCGGGUGUCUCGGGCGGCCGACAUAGUUUACUUUGAACAAAUUAGAGUGCUCAAAGCAGGUGACUACCGCCUGAAUAGUACAGCAUGGAAUGAUGAAAGAGGACCUCGGUCUGAUUUUGCUGGUCUUUAACGGUCGGGCUUCGGCCCGGCCUAUGCAGACCCGAGGUAAUGGUCAAUAGAGACGGACGGGGGCAUCCGUUCUGCGGCGACAGAGGUGAAAUUCUUGGACCGCCGCAAGACGAACGACAGCGAAGGCAUUUGCCAAGAAUGUUUUCCUUGAUCAAGAACGAAAGUUAGAGGUUCGAAGGCGAUCAGAUACCGCCCUAGUUCUAACCAUAAACGAUGCCAACUAGCGAUCCGCCGGUGUUACUCCCAUGACUCGGCGGGCAGCUUCCGGGAAACCAAAGUCUUUGGGUUCCGGGGGAAGUAUGGUUGCAAAGCUGAAACUUAAAGGAAUUGACGGAAGGGCACCACCAGGAGUGGAGCCUGCGGCUUAAUUUGACCCAACACGGGAAACCUCACCAGGCCCGGACACUGGAGGGAUUGACAGAUUGAGAGCUCUUUCUUGAUUCGGUGGGUGGUGGUGCAUGGCCGUUCUUAGUUGGUGGAGCGAUUUGUCUGGUUAAUUCCGAUAACGAACGAGACUCUUGCCUGCUAAAUAGGUGCCGGGUUUUUACAUCUCCU